GACGAACGCUGGCGGCGUGCCUAAUACAUGCAAGUUGAGCGCUGAAGGUUGGUACUUGUACCAACUGGAUGAGCAGCGAACGGGUGAGUAACGCGUGGGGAAUCUGCCUUUGAGCGGGGGACAACAUUUGGAAACGAAUGCUAAUACCGCAUAAAAACUUUAAACACAAGUUUUAAGUUUGAAAGAUGCAAUUGCAUCACUCAAAGAUGAUCCCGCGUUGUAUUAGCUAGUUGGUGAGGUAAAGGCUCACCAAGGCGAUGAUACAUAGCCGACCUGAGAGGGGGAUCGGCCAAAUUGGGACGGAGAAACGGCCCAAAACCCUACGGGAGGCAGCAGGAGGGAAUUUUCGGGAAUGGACGAAAGUUUGAACGAGCAACGCCGGGGGGGGGGGGAAGGUUUUCGGAUCGUAAAACCUUUUUGGGAGGGAAAAACGUUGGGGGGGGGGGAAAACCCAUCAAGGGACGGUAACUACCCAAAAAGGGACGGCUAAACACG
rnacentral:rRNA from 1 species